rnacentral:rRNA from 1 species
GGUUAAGUGACUAAGCGUACAUGGUGGAUGCCUUGGCAGUCAGAGGCGAUGAAGGACGUACUAACCUGCGAUAAGCCGUGAGCAGUCGGUAAGAGACAUUACGACUCACGGAUUUCCGAAUGGGGAAACCCACCUAGCAUAAGCUGGGUAUCGCUACGUGAAUACAUAGCGUAGCGAGGCGAACCGGGAGAACUGAAACAUCUAAGUACCCCGAGGAAAAGAAAUCAACCGAGAUUCCCUCAGUAGCGGCGAGCGAACGGGGAUUAGCCCUUAAGCAUCUUGGAAGUUAGUGGAACGGUCCUGGAAAGGCCGGCGAUACAGGGUGAUAGCCCCGUACACGAAAACAACCUUGAUGUGAAAUCGAGUAGGGCGGGACACGUGACAUCCUGUCUGAAUAUGGGGGGACCAUCCUCCAAGGCUAAAUACUCCUGACUGACCGAUAGUGAACCAGUACCGUGAGGGAAAGGCGAAAAGAACCCCUGUGAGGGGAGUGAAAUAGAACCUGAAACCGUGUACGUACAAGCAGUGGGAGCCCUUCGGGGUGACUGCGUACCUUUUGUAUAAUGGGUCAGCGACUUACAUUUUGUAGCGAGGUUAACCGUAUAGGGGAGCCGUAGGGAAACCGAGUCUUAACUGGGCGUCUAGUUGCAAGGUGUAGACCCGAAACCGGGUGAUCUAGCCAUGGGCAGGUUGAAGGUUGAGUAACAUCAACUGGAGGACCGAACCCACUAACGUUGCAAAGUUAGGGGAUGACCUGUGGCUGGGGGUGAAAGGCCAAUCAAACUCGGAGAUAGCUGGUUCUCCCCGAAAGCUAUUUAGGUAGCGCCUCGGACGAAUACUACUGGGGGUAGAGCACUGUUUGGGCUAGGGGGUCAUCCCGACUUACCAACCCCAUGCAAACUCCGAAUACCAGUAAGUAAUAUCCGGGAGACACACGGCGGGUGCUAACGUCCGUCGUGAAGAGGGAAACAACCCAGACCGCCGGCUAAGGUCCCAAAGUUCUGGUUAAGUGGGAAACGAUGUGGGAAGGCUCAGACAGCUAGGAUGUUGGCUUAGAAGCAGCCAUCAUUUAAAGAAAGCGUAAUAGCUCACUAGUCGAGUCGGCCUGCGCGGAAGAUGUAACGGGGCUCAAACCAG